UCAUUAGAAAGACACUGUUUGCAAC
rnacentral:piRNA from 1 species